GACAGAGGUGCCAAGCGUUAGGCGGAAUCACUGGGCUUAAAGCGUGUGUAGGCGGACUUUUAAGUGCCUUGUGAAAUCCCACGGCUCAACCGUGGAAUGGCUGGGCAUACUGGGAGUCUUGAGCCACCUAGGGGUCGCUGGAACAAACGGUGGAGCGGUGAAAUGCGUAGAGAUUGGAAAGAACACCGAUGGCGAAGGCACUUUACUGGGCUAUUACUAACACUCAGAGACGAAAGCUAGGGUAGCAAAUGGG
rnacentral:rRNA from 1 species